rnacentral:rRNA from 1 species
UACGAAGGGGGCUAGCGUUGCUCGGAAUCACUGGGCGUAAAGCGCACGUAGGCGGCUUUUUAAGUCAGGGGUGAAAUCCUGGAGCUCAACUCCAGAACUGCCUCGAUACUGGAAGACUUUGAGUCCGGGAGAGGUGAGUGGAACUGCGAGUGUAGAGGUGAAAUUCGUAGAUAUUCGCAAGAACACCAGUGGCGAAGGCGGCUCACUGGCCCGGUACUGACGCUGAGGUGCGAAAGGCGUGGGGAGCAAACAGG